CAAUAGCGUAUAUUUAAGUUGUUGCAGUUAAAAAGCUCGUAGUUGGAUUUCGGUUAAGAGCGACCGGUCCGCCGUUUGGUGUGCACUGGUUGGUUUUAACUUCCUGUAGAGGACGUGCUCUGGGUUUAACGACCUGGACUCGGAGUCUACGUGGUUACUUUGAAAAUAUUAGAGUGUUCAAAGCGGGCUUACGCUUGAAUAUUUCAGCAUGGAAUAACACUAUAGGACUCCUGUCCUAUUUCGUUGGUCUCGGGACGGGAGUAAUGAUUAAGAGGAACAGUUGGGGGCAUUCGUAUUUCAUUGUCAGAGGUGAAAUUCUUGGAUUUAUGAAAGACGAACUUCUGCGAAAGCAUUUGCCAAGGAUGUUCUCAUUAA
rnacentral:rRNA from 1 species